UGAUAAAAGGACAAUGGGAUCUUCUUCAUGUGCGAUAAUUAUGUGGGCGUUUCUAAGUGUGCAACACCAGAGGAAUAAAGACGCCAAGUGACCCACAAGCUAAGCCGGUCGCCUGGUCGCAAAAACUGGCAAAAACUGGCCAAAACGCAGAAGAAAGGGCCAACAAAAUGCAACGCAAAGUGAAAUGUAAGCAGACUUGAGACCUAAAGCGAUGGGACUUAUGCAUACAGAAUGGGGGAAGGCAGGGCAGUCUACCAAACUGACCCCGUUCUGAAUUCUAUGCUAAUGAACUGCUUGGUUUCGCUGUUUUUUUUUUCGUGUCCCUUUCUCGGACAGCCAAAAAAGGACCCUCGAAAGCAGACAAAGAGCAAGUGCUUUUCGAUCGAGGAAAAGAUAUGCAUAAGCAUAAUGCAAAUCGGGAUUGAUUUGCAAGUCAAAAGCAGGCACUUUUUCAAAAAACCCAGCACUAUACGUUAAAGAACUGGAGGCGUAAAUGGAAAUUUUUACAAAUAUUCUGUUUAUUUUGCAUUUAAAGGAUUUAUUCAUUUAGACAAUGUUCAAAAUCACAAAUUAACUUUCCCCACCAUCGAAACCAAUUUCUCUAAUCGCCAAAGAGCAGGCACCACUCUAAAUGUAAGACCAUUUAUCUGACAUGUCCAUCGCGUUGGUUUUUUAAUAAAAUCCCCGGCUGAAAUGAAAUAGUCUGGCAGAGAGCUUUUCAUUACACGCCAAACUUUUCACGAAAAUAUAUUAAAAAUAUAAAAAAUCCGCGACCUGUUAAAACUAUUCGCGGGAAAACCAAAAGGAAAGCAAAAUCCAAACGCGCGCAAAAUGGACGCCAUUUGCUGCAGAACAAAAAAGGAAACACAAGUCGAAAAAGUGCAAUAAGUGCUCAGGCAACAAAUUAACGCAACGCAAACGGAAAAUAUAAUAAGAAGCCCACAUAAUGGCGCAUAAAUCAAAUGGAUCUCGUUAUGUUUCAGGAAAAAGUGCUUCCAGCUGCCAAGGCGACUUCUUUAAAUAUUUUAAGUCCCAAAUGAACGGAAAAGGUGAAGGAAGGGGAAUACUUCCAAGUUUAAUUUCACAAAAAAGUAACACGUUUAAUGAGCAAUUAAAAUGAAUCUUCCUUUAUCUCA